rnacentral:rRNA from 1 species
UGCGCAGGCGGUUUAUUAAGACAGAUGUGAAAUCCCCGGGCUUAACCUGGGAACUGCAUUUGUGACUGGUAGGCUAGAGUGUAGCAGAGGGGGGUAGAAUUCCACGUGUAGCAGUGAAAUGCGUAGAUAUGUGAAGGAAUACCGAUGGCGAAGGCAGCCCCCUGGGUUAACACUGACGCUCAUGCACGAAAGCGUGGGGAGCAAACAGGAUUAGAUACCCUGGUAGUCCACGCCCUAAACGAUGUCAACUAGGUGUUGGGGGAGGAGACUUCCUUAGUACCGCAGCUAACGCGUGAAGUUGACCGCCUGGGGAGUACGGCCGCAAGGUUGAA